AUAGGGGAGCCGUAGGGAAACCGAGUCUUAAUUGGGCGUUAAGUUGCAGGGUAUAGACCCGAAACCCGGUGAUCUAGCCAUGGGCAGGUUGAAGGUUGGGUAACACUAACUGGAGGACCGAACCGACUAAUGUUGAAAAAUUAGCGGAUGACCUGUGGCUGGGGGUGAAAGGCCAAUCAAACCGGGAGAUAGCUGGUUCUCCCCGAAAGCUAUUUAGGUAGCGCCUCGUGAAUUCAUCUCCGGGGGUAGAGCACUGUUUCGGCUAGGGGGCCAUCCCGGCUUACCAACCCGAUGCAAACUGCGAAUACCGGAGAAUGUUAUCACGGGAGACACACGGCGGGUGCUAACGUCCGUCGUGAAGAGGGAAACAACCCAGACCGCCAGCUAAGGUCCCAAAGUCAUGGUUAAGUGGGAAACGAUGUGGGAAGGCCCAGACAGCCAGGAUGUUGGCUUAGAAGCAGCCAUCAUUUAAAGAAAGCGUAAUAGCUCACUGGUCGAGUCGGCCUGCGCGGAAGAUGUAACGGGGCUAAACCAUGCACCGAAGCUGCGGCAGCGAACGUAUCACCCAAGACAACUUUACGGAGUUGACGAUUGACGGAGCGAAGCGACGUCAAAGCGUUCAUUAAAGUCGAGUUGGCUUAGGGAUACGUUCGUUGGGUAGGGGAGCGUUCUGUAAGCCUGUGAAGGUGUGUCGUGAGGCAUGCUGGAGGUAUCAGAAGUGCGAAUGCUGACAUAAGUAACGAUAAAGCGGGUGAAAAGCCCGCUCGCCGGAAGACCAAGGGUUCCUGUCCAACGUUAAUCGGGGCAGGGUGAGUCGACCCCUAAGGCGAGGCCGAAAGGCGUAGUCGAUGGGAAACGGGUUAAUAUUCCCGUACUUGGUGUUACUGCGAAGGGGGGACGGAGAAGGCUAUGUUGGCCGGGCGACGGUUGUCCCGGUUUAAGCGUGUAGGUGUGUGUUCCAGGUAAAUCCGGUUCACUUUAACACUGAGGCGUGACGACGAGGCACUACGGUGCUGAAGCAACAAAUGCCCUGCUUCCAGGAAAAGCCUCUAAGCAUCAGGUAACACGAAAUCGUACCCCAAACCGACACAGGUGGUCAGGUAGAGAAUACCAAGGCGCUUGAGAGAACUCGGGUGAAGGAACUAGGCAAAAUGGUGCCGUAACUUCGGGAGAAGGCACGCUGACACGUAGGUGAAGUGAUUUACUCAUGGAGCUGAAGUCAGUCGAAGAUACCAGCUGGCUGCAACUGUUUAUUAAAAACACAGCACUGUGCAAACACGAAAGUGGACGUAUACGGUGUGACGCCUGCCCGGUGCCGGAAGGUUAAUUGAUGGGGUCAGCGCAAGCGAAGCUCCUGAUCGAAGCCCCGGUAAACGGCGGCCGUAACUAUAACGGUCCUAAGGUAGCGAAAUUCCUUGUCGGGUAAGUUCCGACCUGCACGAAUGGCGUAAUGAUGGCCAGGCUGUCUCCACCCGAGACUCAGUGAAAUUGAACUCGCUGUGAAGAUGCAGUGUACCCGCGGCAAGACGGAAAGACCCCGUGAACCUUUACUAUAGCUUGACACUGAACAUUGAGCCUUGAUGUGUAGGAUAGGUGGGAGGCUUUGAAGUGUGGACGCCAGUCUGCAUGGAGCCGACCUUGAAAUACCACCCUUUAAUGUUUGAUGUUCUAACGUGGACCCGUAAUCCGGGUUGCGGACAGUGUCUGGUGGGUAGUUUGACUGGGGCGGUCUCCUCCUAAAGAGUAACGGAGGAGCACGAAGGUUGGCUAAUCCUGGUCGGACAUCAGGAGGUUAGUGCAAUGGCAUAAGCCAGCUUGACUGCGAGCGUGACGGCGCGAGCAGGUGCGAAAGCAGGUCAUAGUGAUCCGGUGGUUCUGAAUGGAAGGGCCAUCGCUCAACGGAUAAAAGGUACUCCGGGGAUAACAGGCUGAUACCGCCCAAGAGUUCAUAUCGACGGCGGUGUUUGGCACCUCGAUGUCGGCUCAUCACAUCCUGGGGCUGAAGUAGGUCCCAAGGGUAUGGCUGUUCGCCAUUUAAAGUGGUACGCGAGCUGGGUUUAGAACGUCGUGAGACAGUUCGGUCCCUAUCUGCCGUGGGCGCUGGAGAACUGAGGGGGGCUGCUCCUAGUACGAGAGGACCGGAGUGGACGCAUCACUGGUGUUCGGGUUGUCAUGCCAAUGGCACUGCCCGGUAGCUAAAUGCGGAAGAGAUAAGUGCUGAAAGCAUCUAAGCACGAAACUUGCCCCGAGAUGAGUUCUCCCUGAGACUUAGAGUCUCCUGAAGGAACGUUGAAGACGACGACGUUGAUAGGCCGGGUGUGUAAGCGCAGCGAUGCGUUGAGCUAACCGGUACUAAUGAACCGUGAGGCUUAACCUU
rnacentral:rRNA from 1 species